rnacentral:rRNA from 1 species
GUUUGAUUAUGGCUCAGAUUGAACGCUGGCGGGAUGUUUGCCACAUGCAAGUCGAACGCAGCAACGGGAUCGGUCUGGUGAAGGAGUGGGCGAACGGGUGAGUAAUGUAUCGGAACGCCUAGUAGCGGGGACACCAAUACAAAGGUAGCUAAUACCGCAUAACAGCCUGGGGAAAGCGGGGGACCUUCGGGCCUCGCACUAUUAGAGCGGCCGAUAUCGAUUAGCUAGUUGGUGGGUAACGGCUUUCCUACUAAGGCGACGAUCCCAGUUGGUUUGAGAGGACGGACCAGCCACACCUGGGACUGAGACACGGCCCAGACUCCUACGGAGGCGGCGGUGGGGCCUUCUGGACAAUGGGGAAAUCCGAUCCACAGCCAUCCUACAAAGAGGAGCGUCUUCUUAACAAAGCCAUCCUUGCAGGAGUGAACGGCACGAUAAUGCCCGUGCAACUGACGGUACCGUAGAAUAAGCACCGCUAACUACGCCAGCAGCCGCGGUAAUACGUAGGUAAGGUUAAUCGGAACGCUCAUCGGGCAAAGCGUGCGUAUAGUCUGGAAGAAUAUGGAACCUAUGAGCUUAACUUUGAACCGUAUUUUUAACUACCGAAAGCUAGAGUGUCAGAGGGAGGUGGAAUUCGUAGCAGCGGAAUGCGUAGAUAUGCGGAGGAACACCGAUGGCGAAGGCAGCCUCCUGGAUAACACUGGACGUUUUAUGCAUCGAGCGGGGAGCAAACAGGAUUAGAUACCCUGGUGCAGUCCACGCCCUAAACGAUACGCCAACCAGCUGUUGGGGCCUUCGCCUUAAGAAGCAGCUAAUCGCAGUGAAGUUGACCGCCUGGGGAGUACGGUCGCAAGAUUAAAACUCAAAGGAAUUGGAUGGGACCGCACGUUGGUGGAUGAGCGGAUUAAUCUGAUGCAACGCGAAAAACCUUACCUACCCUUGACAUGUCUGGAAUCCUUAAGAGAUUUGGGAGUGCUCGCAAGAGAACCGGAACACAGGUGCUGCAUGGUGGCUGCCGUCAGCUCGCUGCGUCGAGAUGUUGAAGAAAGUCCGCAUCGAUAACUGUUAUUAGUUGCUACGAGUAAAUUCCGACGAGACUGCCGGUAAUAAAACCUGAGAAGGUGGGGAUGACGUCAAGUCCUCAUGGCCCUUGCGGUGGUAGCUCUCACACGUCAUAAUGGUCGGGACAGAGGUCGCCAACCUGCGCGAGGGGGAGCCAAUCCCAGAAACCCCGGAUCGUAGUCCGGAUCGCAGCCCGCAACUCGACUGCGUGAAGUCGGAAUCGCUAGCACUGUGAUCAGCAUGGUCGGUGGUGAAUACGUUCCCGGUCUUGUACACCGCCCGUCACACCAUGGGGAGUGGGCUUCAGCCAGAAGGGUUAGCCUAACCGUAAGGAGGGUUAUCACUGCUUUUAGAUCUAUGAUCAGUGGAAGGUAACAAGGUAA